rnacentral:rRNA from 1 species
UACGGAGGGUGCAAGCGUUAAUCGGAAUUACUGGGCGUAAAGCGCGCGUAGGUGGUUCGUUAAGUUGGAUGUGAAAUCCCCGGGCUCAACCUGGGAACUGCAUUCAAAACUGACGAGCUAGAGUAUGGUAGAGGGUGGUGGAAUUUCCUGUGUAGCGGUGAAAUGCGUAGAUAUAGGAAGGAACACCAGUGGCGAAGGCGACCACCUGGACUGAUACUGACACUGAGGUGCGAGAGCGUGGGGAGCAAACAGG